rnacentral:rRNA from 1 species
UGUAUGUGGGUUAGUCCGCACGAGCGCACCCUAUCCUUAUUUGCCAGCGCGUAGUGGCGGGAACUUUAAGGAGACUGCCGGUGAUAAACCGGAGGAAGGUGGGGACGACGUCAAGUCAUCAUGGCCCUUACGGGAUGGGCUACACACGUGCUACAAUGGCAGGUACAGAGGGCAGCAAUACCGCGAGGUGGAGCGAAUCCCACAAAGCUUGUCGUAGUCCGGAUUGGAGUCUGCAACUCGACUCCAUGAAGUCGGAAUCGCUAGUAAUCGUAGAUCAGAAUGCUACGGUGAAUACGUCCCCGGGCCUUGUACACACCGCCCGUCACACCAUGGGAGUGGGAUGCAAAAGAAGUGGCUAGUUUAACCUUUCGGGGAGGACGGUCACCACUUUGUGUUUCAUGACUGGGGUGAAGUCGUAACAAGGUAACCCUAGGGGAACCUGGGGUUGGAUCACCUCCUU